UUCUCGUACGAUCACCGAAGUUAAGCAACGUGGAGCCUUCUCCGUACUUACAUGGGUGACCGCUUGGCAAUAUCAGGUGCUGUAA